rnacentral:lncRNA from 1 species
UGUGCAAAAGGUUUUAAAUUUUGUAUAAUCAAAAUUGUUUCACUUUCUGUAAUCCUUUCUCUUCUUUAUUUGGUCAAUAAUUCUUUCCCUAUUGUUGUUCAUGCUUUGUACUUAAGAACCAAAAAUGACAUCAUAAUGUUGGGGUCUGUCCUAAAUAGAAAUUAUUCUUAUUGCCUUUUAAUCAUUUUUAUAAACUACGAGUGAUUCCUUUAUAAUAGUUUGAUAAGUGAUGAUUUAUAGCCCCAGUUAUUAGUUGAUUGAAUAACUAUGUAUGAGAUAAUAAUCAGUAAGAAUAAUUUUUAAAAAUUAAACAUGUAGUGUGCUGUGUUAGUAACUAAAGUAAGAUUCUCUAUGCAUUUUUGACCCUGAACAGUAUAGUCUCAAAAUUGUGACAUAGGGUAGUAAGGGCCUUAGAUACUUUGGUCACUCACCCUGUGGUUUGAAAACUCAGUUUCUGACCCUUUGGUACCCAAAAAGUGGAAGCUCCCACAGUUGCCUCCUUAACUGACAAUGGUCAGCUCAAAACUUAUUAAUUUCAUCACUGCCUAUUUAUGCUAUAAAUAUUUGUAAUCUCUGGGACUUGAGGCUGCAAGUCAUGUUGGAUGUGUCUGCAGACCUCUGACUUUGCCAGAAGAUCUUUCUCCAGUUUUUUUGUUUGUUUGUUUUUUUAACAGGUCAAGAUAUAGUCUGUUUGACUGAUCAACAAAUACACCCUAUACCUCUUCUCUUCCACACUUUCCUUCAAAACCUCCCAAACACUAAGCCAGCUCUAGCAAAGUGCACCAUAAUAAGUGAGUGACUGGGCAAGUCAAUUAACAUUUCUAUGCAACAAGUAAAUCUGUCAGAGCAUCCACAGAUCUAGCAAUUAGGAGUUUCCUCAUCCAAAGCUUCUUCUAUCCAUCUAUCUUCUUCUAAAUUGCAGAUCCCUUCAAAAUGGAACAAAACUGAUAAUAGAACUCACCAACUAAACUGCCAGAGACAGAAUUUGAACUCAUCAUGCUUAUUGUCUUUGUGGACAUCUUUAGAAAGAUAUACUGCCAGAAGUAAUCAAAGUCCAGUGGCAAGACAAAAGACAGGAUGACUGGCAAUGGCCCAUGAUGCAGUGGAUGACUAUGGCAGCUAUCUUCGAUGACUGACCAGGACUGAAGGGCUUCACAGAGCCCAUUUCUGCUGCCUUCAUUGUGGUAGUAACAAAUUGUUCUCAUUUACCCAUUUUCUCCCCCCUAGGGGAGGCGAGGAGAGUCUUCCCCUGACUAGGACAGCCACCUAACUCAUGCACAUAGCAGAAUAAGUGGACAGCAAUCCCAGAGAGGGUAUUAAUAGAUGGAGAGACUGCUAAUGCAUCCUUUAGAAGGUACUUCUCUAUUGAGCUUGUCUUGAAGAAGUCAAGAGAAAUAUUGAGGUUGAAGGGAAGGGGAAGAAUGCUCCAGAUGUCUUCUAUGACCCUUCCUAGGAAAGCAAUGUCUGGUUUCAGGAAUUUAAAUAGUAGGACUUCUUAAUUUCAGAGCUCAAUUCAAGAGCUUCUUUCUAUAUGAAGUCUUGUCUAAUCCCCACUUCCACCAUGGCCCCAGCUGCUAGUGUUUCCACUGAAUACCUUGUAUUCAUUUUUUAACAUUUUUAUAAUGUUUUAUUAUUAACAUAUGUAAUAUAUAUUAUGCAUAAUAUAUAAAUAUAUAAUAUAAUUAUAAGAAAUAAUCAUUUCUUCUGAUAGAAUGUAAGCCCCUUUAAGGCAGGGAUUGUUUCAUUUUUGUCUUGGUAUCCAUCCUAGUAGAGUGUCUAACUUGUAGUAAGCACUUAAUAAAUAUUACUAGCUCAAUUCA